AUUGAACGCUGGCGGCAGGCCUAACACAUGCAAGUCGAGCGGAUGAAGGGAGCUUGCUCCUGGAUUCAGCGGCGGACGGGUGAGUAAUGCCUAGGAAUCUGCCUGGUAGUGGGGGAUAACGUCCGGAAACGGGCGCUAAUACCGCAUACGUCCUGAGGGAGAAAGUGGGGGAUCUUCGGACCUCACGCUAUCAGAUGAGCCUAGGUCGGAUUAGCUAGUUGGUGGGGUAAAGGCCUACCAAGGCGACGAUCCGUAACUGGUCUGAGAGGAUGAUCAGUCACACUGGAACUGAGACACGGUCCAGACUCCUACGGGAGGCAGCAGUGGGGAAUAUUGGACAAUGGGCGAAAGCCUGAUCCAGCCAUGCCGCGUGUGUGAAGAAGGUCUUCGGAUUGUAAAGCACUUUUAGUUGGAAAGAAAGGCAGUAAGUUAAUACCUUGCUGUUUUGACGGUACCAACAGAAUAAGCACCGGCUAACUUCGUG
rnacentral:rRNA from 1 species